rnacentral:lncRNA from 1 species
GGGAAAACAGCACUUCCUUGUGUUACAGUGUCUGAGCUAAAAGGGGGCAGAAUGUCAGCCUCAGGGAAUGUCAACAUCCUGUGAUGUUGUUUGUGAAUCUAGGAGACCCACAUUUUUUUUCUAUUUUUUUUUAACUUCCCUGGAAGGACCACUACAGUGCUGAGAGUAAUGAUUCCUACUGACUAGGACCGUACAAAAAAAUUGGAGUGGAAGGCAAAUAUAUAGUCUGUACAUACUUCAAAUAAUAAUAGCGCUUAAUAUAAAUAUUGGGGUUUGGGAAGAAGGAAUCAGCUUUCCUCAAAAGGAGCCAAGAGAUUGAGGAAACACCUAGUAUAUGAAGUACUGUGUAAGACUUAGGAAACACCUAGUAUAUGAGGUACGGUGUAAUAAAGAUGUGUUUUGUUGUCAUGUGUCUGUGUCAUUUGUCACAUGACCCCCCUCACUCAUAUGUUAGGUCCAUUUGAAUCAUAAUCUGUGUUAGUUACAUUAUUUCUCUGUUUAGCUUAUGUCUCAAUGACCUGCCCAAUAGAGGAUACUAGAAGGAAAACUCCUUUCCAAUGAGUCUAACUAUCCUCAAGAAAACAUAAAAAAUAAUUUCACAUCAUUAAAACCAAUAGAAGAAUCUCUC